rnacentral:rRNA from 1 species
CAGCCGCCACGGUAAUACAGAGGGUGCGAGCGUUAAUCGGAUUUACUGGGCGUAAAGCGUGCGUAGGCGGCUAAUUGAGUCGGAUGUGAAAUCCCCGAGCUUAACUUGGGAAUUGCAUUCGAUACUGGUUAGCUAGAGUGUGGGAGAGGAUGGUAGAAUUCCAGGUGUAGCGGUGAAAUGCGUAGAGAUCUGGAGGAAUACCGAUGGCGAAGGCAGCCAUCUGGCCUAACACUGACGCUGAGGUACGAAAGCAUGGGGAGCAAACAGGAUUAGAGACCCGCGUAGUCCCUGUCUCUUAUAC